rnacentral:rRNA from 1 species
UUGGAAACUGUCUAUCUGGAGUACUGGAGGGGUAAGCGGAGAUUCCUGGAUGUACGCGGUGAAAUGACGUAGAUAUCCAGGAGGAACACUGACGGUCAGAUGCGAAGGCGUGCUUACUGGACAGUAACUGACGUUGAGGCUCGAAAGCGUGGGGAGCAAACGAUGUCGAUUAGAUACCCUGGUAGUCCACGCUGGUAAACGCAGUGAAUACCAGGUGUAGGCGGACAUAGUUCGUCUGUGCCGCAAGGCUAAAACGCAAUAAGUAUUCCACCUGGGGAGUCCGUUCACAAGCGGUGGAGCAUCGUGGUUUAAUUCGACGGCAACGCGAAGAAGCGCUGUAGCAUGAUGCUUGACAUCCGGAGAAUGCAUCUGCGAAGAGACCUUACGCAGAUGGCUUGACAUCCCGCUGAAUGUCUCUUAAUCGAGGCAGGCCUUCGGGACAGCGGAGACAGGUGGUGCAUGGUUGUCGUCAGCUCGUGUCGUGAGAUGUUGGGUCAAGUCCCGCAACGAGCGCAACCCUUGUCCAUAGUAGCCAGCAGUAAGAUGGGAACUCUAUGGAGACUGCCGGGGAUAACCCGGAGGAAGGUGGGGAUGACGUCAAAUCAUCAUGCCCCUUACGAUCUGGGCUACACACGUGCUACAAUGGCGUAACAAAGGGAAGCGACCCUGCGAAGGUGAGCAAACCCCAAAAAUAACGUCCCAGUUCGGACUGUAGUCUGCAACCCGACUACACGAAGCCGGAAUCGCUAGUAAUCGCAGAUCAGCAUGCUGCGGUGAAUACGUUCCCGGGUCUUGUACACACCGCCCGUCACACCAUGGGAGUUGGAAAUGCCCGAAGCC